rnacentral:rRNA from 1 species
AUUGAACGCUGGCGGCAUGCUUUACACAUGCAAGUCGAACGGUAACAGGUUAAGCUGACGAGUGGCGAACGGGUGAGUAAUGCAUCGGAACGUGCCCGAUCGUGGGGGAUAACGCAGCGAAAGCUGCGCUAAUACCGCAUGCGAUCUGAGGAUGAAAGCGGGGGACCGUAAGGCCUCGCGCGAUCGGAGCGGCCGAUGUCAGAUUAGGUAGUUGGUGGGGUAAAGGCCCACCAAGCCGACGAUCUGUAGCUGGUCUGAGAGGACGACCUGCCACACUGGGACUGCGACACGACACAGACGCCUACGGGAGGCAGCAGUGGGGAAUUAUGGACAAUGGGCGAAAGCCUGAUCCAGCAAUGCCGCGUGCAGGAAGAAGGCCUUCGGGUUGUAAACUGCUUUUGUACGGAGCGAAAAGGUCCUUUCUAAUACAAGGGGCUCAUGACGGUACCGUAAGAAUAAGCACCGGCUAACUACGUGCCAGCCGCCGCCGUAACAC